rnacentral:rRNA from 1 species
AGAACGAACGCUGGCGGCAUGCCUAAUACAUGCAAGUCGAACGAGAUCUUCGGAUCUAGUGGCGCACGGGUGCGUAACGCGUGGGAAUCUACCCUUGGGUUCGGAAUAACAGUUGGAAACGACUGCUAAUACCGGAUGAUGACGAAAGUCCAAAGAUUUAUCGCCCAGGGAUGAGCCCGCGUAGGAUUAGCUAGUUGGUGAGGUAAAGGCUCACCAAGGCUACGAUCCUUAGCUGGUCUGAGAGGAUGAUCAGCCACACUGGGACUGAGACACGGCCCAGACUCCUACGGGAGGCAGCAGUAGGGAAUAUUGGACAAUGGGGGCAACCCUGAUCCAGCAAUGCCGCGUGAGUGAUGAAGGCCUUAGGGUUGUAAAGCUCGUUUACCCGAGAUGAUAAUGACAGUAUCGGAGAAUAAGCUCCGGCUAACUCCGUGCCAGCAGCCGC